GGUACAAUGAAGUAAGGGGACACUUUUGAGCAGCCAAAAGGAUGAGCCAGUUAUCACCUGAACUCCUAAACCUGGGAGUUAAAUUAAAGGUAAAAAAUCUACAUACAACAGAAUUUACAGAACGAAUGACAGGCAGCUGACAGCAGAUUGUUCAAGGCAUAUGCAAUUUGCAGAGUAUGAAAGAUACGGCAACUGGAUUGGAUCAAUGAAAAUUUUGUGGUAUGCUGGUUAUAUCUUGUAUGUAUAGUAUAAUUGAGCUAUAUUGAAGCAUGUUUAAAGCAGGUCCAACAUUGUUAUUAUGUUGAUCCUUCUUCUAGAUGCAUGUGUACACUCAAGUGGGAAAAAAUUGUGCGAGCUUCUGAUGGCAACCUGCUUCACUUGUAUCUAUUGUAAUGACAUAAAUCAUGGCAUAGUUGUCAAUGACUAGCUCUUGUGAUGUCUGUGAGAAGGUUUAAUGUUUUUGAAUCUUCAGACUAGAAUUAUUAUUAUUAUUAUUAUUAUUUUUGGCUGCCUCUGUGGAGUAGUUGGGAAUUUUCGUGAUUGUUGUACGUGGAAUUUCCACGUAUCAUGUUCACUUUUCUUGUGAAAGGGCAAAAUCUGAACCGUGUAGCGUGUCUGCAUUGAGGUUAAGGCUUGCUCUUUGGGACGGAUAAAUGCAGCUAGUUUGGUUUAGAUUCUGGAUUAAUGACUUAAACAGAAGUAGUCUGGUGGACAUGGUCCUGUGCUUAUCAUUCUUCUCCUAGUCUCUGGGAUUUCAUGCUGUGUAAUUUGUAUCUUCUGGCUUCAGCUGGGAUUUUGGAUCAUUCUUGCCUAGUCUUUGUGGUGGUGUACUUUGUUUCUUUAGCUGGGAUUAUGAUGACAACAUAACCUCGUAAUGCGAGCUCUUUUAUGCAGGCGGGCACUUGUUUGCUGUAAUUGCUAUUGGAUUCUUCAGUCAUGCACAUGCACUUAGGUAUCCAAAACAUGAUCUUGUGUAGUAACAUGGGGCAUGCGGUAGAUUAAGUCUUUCUGCAUGAUUGAGCACAUUUACUAAGGUAAAGCUUAAAGGCCAGUUUAAGUAAUCGCAGCAGUUUUCUCUGGCAAAUUGCCAUCUGCUAGGUCGUAGGUACACAACAUUCAAAAUUAUUUUUUUCUCCAGUUUCUGCUAAUUUCUUGCAGCUAACGAGAGCCGUCCUAGUUAUUCUUUUCUUGGUUUCGUCUCCAAAACCACACGGGGCCAUGCUUUUUCUCUCCCCAACCUGAUGAUGCUCUUUUCUGCGCGUCCAAUUCGAAGGAAGGAAGGAAGAUUCAUGCGACAGCCAACGGGCAUUGUCUGUGGUUGUUGGACGUGUUGCACGUUUGACGCGAGGGAUGGAACAUAAAGACUAGGACUCAAUUCCUGUUUAACACCCCCUAUGGCUUGACAGGAGGAGGGAAAAAAGCAGUGGAGGAGGCAGGCAUACAUGGUACAGGACUAAUGACUUGUCCACUGACUUUGGGUAUUGACUCUCAAGUCUCACCCAUUGGAGGCAAGAAAGCAGCAUGAGUUGCUUGGUCCAUCAAAUUGCCUGGUGGGGUGGAAAGUGGAAAGUGGGAAGUGGGAUUUGUGUGAGUCCUACUACUUAAUAGUGCAUAAUCAUUUUGUGCAUUGUAUGGCUAUAUCCCAUUACCUAGUUGCACAAAUUGAGAUGGUAUGCAAGCCAAGCCAACUGGUGUGUCACUUAAAUGAUACCAGAUUUGGUUAUUGAAUAAAAUUUUCAUAUUGGGUUU